ensembl:lncRNA
GGGGAAUUGAGCUCGUGGCCCUCCUGCAAGAUACACCACCAUGUUGACCCUCUGGUGUUACAGACUGGGAGUCCCCACACCAGAUCUUUCAGUUGUCAUUGAUGAUGGCUGUCAGGUUAGACUCUCUGUUCAUAGGUCAUCACAUUUCUAAGGAACUCAAAAGAAUAAAGUUAUUGUCUUAUCACAGCUGGGAGGUAAAUAGACAAGGAGGGGUCAUAAAAUCUCCAGAGCAGUUGGCUCUCCUGGAGGGUGCAUAUCCAGCCGGGUUCAUUAGUCAAAGGUCAUUCAAAGUUACAAUAUGGUCUGUUUUCUACAAUAUGGCUUCCUUUAUGCCAACCUUGUGUUGAGUCAGUAUCACCAGUGCCAUGCCAGUAAAGAUAAAAUCGAAGCAGAUAGAUCACUGGCCCUGCGUGAAAUACUCCCCUUGAAGCCAGAAGCCAUAAGAGGAAUCUUACCUGUGAUCAAUAGGCUUUUAGAACAAGGAUUGAUCAGGCCACGGAGAUUCCCAUGAAACACCCCCAUUUUACCAGUUAAAAGGCUGGAAACAGCGAAAUAUAGAUUUCUUCAAGAGCUCAGGGCUGUCAAGGUGCGUUUGGAUCCUCAUGCCCCACUCCAUCCCCCCAGGUGAUGUCUGAUCACCCUGCCCUGCCUUCAGCAGGAAUGCUGUUAGGUUGGAGAGAUAUUGUGAUUUAUAAUAAGAAAUGCCUUCACUUCAUUUCUGGAGCAGAGCUCCUAAAACUCUUGUAAAAUUUCUGAUAUGGGAGCUAUAGGGGCAUCUUUUGUUACAAUAAUUACUUUUGUCCUCAGUUCCAGAAAUAACUCCAGAGCAAUAAAGGUGAAAUAGAUAUCUUUUGUUAUUCAUAACAAGCCCCUUUCAACCACACCUGAAUUUAUGUUAAUGGGGUGACUUCAGGAGAACCAUAAGGGUGGGGGCUUGUUGCUAGGGGAACCAAUUGUGUGAUAGGUGGGUUGGAACUCUCAGCCCCAUCGCCUUCACCACAUCUCCAAGGUGGGGAGAAGGGCUGAAGAUUGAGUUCAACAUGGGGUUCAGAGAACUCCCAGGUCCAUGGCUGGCUGGGAUACUUUACCUCAGUGGGGAAGCUCCUAAUCUCUUCCCAGAGGAACUGCCUUCAUCUGCAACACGGCACGGAGAAGUUCAAGCCUAAGCAAAGGGCAUCAGAUCUGAAAUACAAGCAGCAACAGGAGAAUAUGAAGAGGAGGAGUCUUAAAAGUCAACUCAAAAAACGGGUUGUAGAGACUCCUCAUCCUGAGGUGUGAGGGAGGUGAUUUAAGACAAGGCGAUAACCCACCUGAAGCCAAGCCUUAUCUGUGUCCAGCCCUGCUCGCCUGACUGGGGAAGACCAAUCGACAGUUCUUGAAGGUAAACCAGAGUCGAGCUGCAUGGUAUCUUCUCGAGGUGGAGACUGGGGGGCUGUUGACCAAUCAGCUGAAAGGACCAGCGUAACAGAGCCAGCAACUGAGAACUGAGACAGCUGGGACAGAAGUCAGCCUACCCCACAACAAACUGGAAAACAUCGAGAAGACUAUCACACAUACAGAGGAAGGAAUACACAAAAGGGAGUGCUUGUCCUAUGUUUGCCCUGAGGCAAGGCCGGCUCCGAGAGGACAGCAGCCCACGGCCGUCCUGCCCAGCCUCCUGCCUUCGCACAUGCUGUUCCUUUAGCCUGAAUCACUCUUCUCUCCCCUCUUUGGCCAACUCACCUCCCUGUCACCCUUCAUAGCUCAGCUCAGUGUCACCUCCUCAGGGAAGCUUUCUCUCACUGCAACACAGGCUCCCCUUGCCAUCGCGUGCUCCAAUGCCCAUGUCAGCUUGUAACCAUAAAUUUAUUAUUUGUGCAAUUAUUGGGUUUCUGUCUGUCUUCUCCUCUCAGACAUGAGCUGGACGAGGGGUGAGGUGCUGUCUUUCUUCACCUGGCCCAGGGCCUGGCACACAGAAGGUGCUCAGAGAACCAACGAACAGAUGCAUGUGCAUAACAGACCUGCUCUUGUGCAGUCUUCCCGCCCAACUCAAAAUUCUUAUGAGCCCAUUGCAGAACUUUGAGUGCUGGCUCACAGAGUCCUCUUUGAAACUCAUGCUUCUUAUUUCAACAACAACGCCUCUCCUCCUGCUGCCCCUCUGUGCCCAGCCCCUCGCUGAGUGGUCCUGGGGCAGCAGAGAAAGCUCAGUCCCAGAUCCUGCCCAUGAGAAGUUCCAGUCUGAGGGUGGGAGCACAGAGCUGGACACAGACACUGCCAGCCCAAGUGUUGAGGGUAAAAUGAGGGUCUCAGGGCUGGGGAGUAGGGAAGGGAGAGUGUCCUGGAGAAGGGCCUUGACUUGGCAUGGAGAGCAGAGCAUGAAGAAUUAUUAGUCUGGAAGGGUGGAGGCAUUCCUAGCAGAGGGACUGCAUAUGCAAAGGCCCUGAGGCUUGAGAAAUGGUGGUUUUAGGAUAGAGGAGCCAGGGGAAAUGGCUACAGAGGGGACUGGCUAGGUCCAUUAGAGGCAGGUUGUAACGGACCCUAAGGCCAAGCAGAUGAGGUUGAACUACGUCCCACAGGAAGAGAAUAAACUAGCGUCAGCUGUUGUCAAAGUAGGGCAGGCAAGAUGUUCCAGUAAGAAUCAGACAGGGUGGCUAGGAAGAGUGGAACAGGUCGCACACUACACUAACCUAAGGGGGGCGGGGGUGCCAUGCACACAGACUGCAAUGAGUAGGGUACUUACACACAUGUACACACACACGCACACACACACACAGGGGAAUUAUGCGGUAUAGUGGCCCUGCAUGUAGGAGAAAACUGAAGAACUUUCAUUGACAUUUUUUAUGUGCUUAGGGGUUUCUUUGGUUUUUUAGAUUCCACAUAUAACAGAGAUCGUACAGUACUUGUCUUUCUCUGUCUGACUUAUUUCCACUCAGCAUAAAGCCCUUGAAGCCCAUCC